UGGAAUAAAAACAACAGCCACACCAGCCAAACCAGCCACACUGGUGACCUGUCGGGCUCCUCCACCUGGGAAUCUCCUGGUCUGUGGGCAAUAAAAAUACGUCUGGAAAUGUGGCAUCCACUCACCCUCUGCACUUU